GCAAGUAGAACGCUGAAGGAGGAGCUUGCUUCUCUGGAUGAGUUGCGAACGGGUGAGUAACGCGUAGGUAACCUGCCUGGUAGCGGGGGAUAACUAUUGGAAACGAUAGCUAAUACCGCAUAACAGUAGAUGUUGCAUGACAUUUGCUUAAAAGGUGCAAUUGCAUCACUACCAGAUGGACCUGCGUUGUAUUAGCUAGUUGGUGGGGUAACGGCUCACCAAGGCGACGAUACAUAGCCGACCUGAGAGGGUGAUCGGCCACACUGGGACUGAGACACGGCCCAGACUCCUACGGGAGGCAGCAGUAGGGAAUCUUCGGCAAUGGACGGAAGUCUGACCGAGCAACGCCGCGUGAGUGAAGAAGGUUUUCGGAUCGUAAAGCUCUGUUGUAAGAGAAGAACGAGUGUGAGAGUGGAAAGUUCACACUGUGACGGUAUCUUACCAGAAAGGGACGGCUAACUACGUGCCAGCAGCCGCGGUAAUACGUAGGUCCCGAGCGUUGUCCGGAUUUAUUGGGCGUAAAGCGAGCGCAGGCGGUUAGAUAAGUCUGAAGUUAAAGGCUGUGGCUUAACCAUAGUACGCUUUGGAAACUGUUUAACUUGAGUGCAAGAGGGGAGAGUGGAAUUCCAUGUGUAGCGGUGAAAUGCGUAGAUAUAUGGAGGAACACCGGUGGCGAAAGCGGCUCUCUGGCUUGUAACUGACGCUGAGGCUCGAAAGCGUGGG
rnacentral:rRNA from 1 species